GAUGAACGCUAGCGAUAGGCUUAACACAUGCAAGUCGAGGGGCAGCAUGGUCUUAGCUUGCUAAGACUGAUGGCGACCGGCGCACGGGUGCGUAACGCGUAUGCAACUUGCCUCACAGAGGGGGAUAACCCGUCGAAAGACGGACUAAUACCGCGUACACUUGGGAUAGGGCAUCCUAUCCCAAGGAAAUGAAAUUCGCUGUGAGAUAGGCAUGCGUCCCAUUAGCUAGUUGGUGAGGUAACGGCUCACCAAGGCGACGAUGGGUAGGGGAACUGAGAGGUUGAACCCCCACACUGGUACUGAGACACGGACCAGACUCCUACGGGAGGCAGCAGUGAGGAAUAUUGGUCAAUGGGCGAGAGCCUGAACCAGCCAAGUCGCGUGAAGGAUGACUGUCUUAUGGAUUGUAAACUUCUUUUAUACGGGAAUAACAAGAGUCACGUGUGGCUCCCCGCA
rnacentral:rRNA from 1 species